rnacentral:rRNA from 1 species
UACGUAGGGGUCGCAAGCGUUGUCCGGAUUUAUUGGGCGUAAAGAGCGUGUAGGCGGUUUGGUAGGUCCGCUGUGAAAACUCGAGGCUCAACCUCGAGCUGUCGGUGGAAACCGUAAGGCUAGAGUCCGGGAAGAGGAGAGUGGAAUUCCUGGAUGUAGCGGUGAAAUGCGCAGACUAUCAGGAAGAACACCCGUGGCGAAGGCGGCUCUCUGGGACGGUACUGGACGCUG